CAUGUAUAAGACUUAGAUUCAUGUGUUGAACACUUCCUCUGUUGCUGCUGCUGUAAGAAUUGCUAAAGCCUUCGCUUCCGUAUUCAAUUGUCCAUAGUGUGGCGUUUGUAUGGAGUCCCCGGUCGUCUCACGGACUAUUGACUCGUACACCACUAAUCCGCUGCCACCAACCAUGUCCUCCCUGGUAAAAUCACUUCAGUCUCAGUCAUGUUUUCAAUUAAUAAAGAAGAGUGUACUUUAUUUUAGACACAAACAAACUUUUACGGCAUUCCAAACGUUGUUGCUCUUUACUUUCUUAGUCUUAUUUUCCUCUCUCUAUCUCUUCUACCUCCCCACACUCAAGAAUCCUCUGCCCUAACUGUCUCUCUAUUACCAACUGCCUGCCAACUGCUUCUCCAACUGCCUUUCCCAACCAGCCAGCCCACUAAAACCAACCAACUACCACCAACAACUCCCAAUGAACUCCUCCCAGAACUGAUUUUAUAGUCCCACUGACUUCACCCCCCUGUGUCCUGACUGGGCAACCUGUUUAACUAUUUACCUCCAGCACUCUCUCUUUUGUUAACGUCACACAUACCUACUGUGAAUAGAAUUCACUGUGGUUCAGGGAAGAAAGCAAAGUUAGUUAAGCCAGGUUUGAAGUUGGACUCCCCCCAAAAAAAACCAGGGCUGGCCCACCCAUGAGACAAGCUGAGGUGACCACCUCGGGUGGCAGGAUCCACAGGAGUGACAGAUCCAGCCUCCGAGGCAUUUGUUGCCAGCUGCUGCUGCAGUGGAAGCGAUAUCUAAGACAUGUUCCUUGGAGGCCAGACCAGCUGCCUCCUCAGCAGCAGCCCCCGAUUCUGCCUCCAUAGCACCCUCUUGGUGAAUAGGAGGCACUGCUUGUCUCCUCCCAUCCCUAGGCAGGAAAUGGAAGGGACUGCCUUCUGUGGUCUCCUAGGCUCUGCACCUGCCUGACAUGAUUCAGAGAGUGUCGCCCCCUAUGAUGGGCUUUGAUUCCCAUUUCCACCACUGAGUAAGGUUGAUUUUACUCCCCCGCCGCCACCACCACCAUUCCUGAUGUAGAUCUUCACUCACCCCUUCCUCCCUGGUGGGGAGGAUGCCAUUCUGUAGUUUAUUUCAGGUGCCAAAAUAUAUAGGACCGGCCCUACCCUAAACCAUACGAUACACUGUGCAAAAUGUCGAAGUGUGGUUCAUUGGAAAUGGAAAUUAAUGGUUCUGAUCUCAUCAAAAGCCAUCGCAGGGGAGAAGGAAAGGGGUGCUUGCAAACCCAAGUUCCAACCAGGCUCAUUCCCAUGGUGCUAACAAAACAGAAGAUAUGAGGGCUACUUGAAAUGAUAGGAGCGAGUGGAAUGGUCGAAAAAUGGCAAAGGUGGUGUCAGAGAGCCAGUGUAGAUGGUUAAUUUUGUAUCUGCUGUCAAAAUAGUAUAAAUGUUAGCAUCUGAAGAGGAAAAGCAUUCUCUUUCAAAGUCAUGUGCUGCUUUUUCCAGAUGCACAGUUUCACAGAGGGAAGGAAGAACUGUUUAGCAUCCCCAGCAGAGUAGCUGUUGGGGACUUGGUUGCAACAAAUGAGAUACACUGCACUUAGGUACAUACCACAUACAUGGAUCCUUGUCCCUUUUGAUUUGUUUGCUCUGGUGUAUAUAUUGUUAACUGAGCAGUGCCUGCAGUUUUUGCAUCUGCUGUACCUACAGGGGAUCACUGCAGUUUAGGUUGUUGUGUCAUGAUUUAUCGGAAGCUUGUUCUAAUUAUUUUUUUAAACUGUAAAAAGGUGUGUGAGUCUGUGGAGGUCCCUGAUUAUGCAACAUCAGUGUCUGCCCAACCUGUUCCGCCAUGAAAUAUUGAGUGUUUGAGGAAAGUUUUUCCUUUUUUUGAAAUGUAUUUUAGCACAUGUACGUUACACAGUAUAUGCAUAUUGCACUUUUUUUAAAUUAUUGUGAUAUCUUGUGUGGUCGUUUUCUGGUGUGUCUUUUGAGAAAUAUUGGCUUGAGGUUGAAUCCAAUAGGGAGUCAUUGCAUGAACAGAAAGAUUUCUGUUCAUGCAGCAGAAAUUACCCUCCCCUCCCUCAUGGAUUCCAUACACCACCCCCAAAUUUGCAGGAUUGGGGGAACCCUCAGAGAAGAUGUGAAGAUGCAUAGUCCACACUCUCAAAAAAGCCUAUUGAAAAUGAAAUGGGUGUGUCUUUAAUGAAUGCCUCAAGAAUCCAGUGGCAAAACAGUUAGCACAUGGGUAGGCAAACUAAGGCCCGAGGGCCGGAUCCAGCCCAAUCACCUUCUAAAUCCAGCCCACAGAUGGUCCGGGAAUCAGUGUGUUUUUACAUGAGCAGAAUGUGUGCUUUUAUUUAAAAUGAAUCUCUGGGUUAUUUGUGGUGCAUAGGAAUUCGUUCAUUAUUUUUUUUCAAAAUAUAGUCUGGCCCCCCACAAGGUCUGAGGGACAGUGGACCAGCCCCCCGCUGAAAAACUUUGCUGACCCCUGACUUAGCAGAUAUCCUCAAGAGAUCUCACAAUAUGACAACCCCAACUGAAAAAGAACUUCUCCAAGUUUCAGCCUCUUCAAAAUAGUCCCUGUGGAUACCAUUUCAUGCGGUAGGUGAGAUGGAUGUAGGAGAAUGUGCUUCCUAAGGUACCCAAGACCUGGAAUGACAGGUCAUGAAACAUUUAGGAUAUAUCCAUUUAAGCCCCACUUUAGCAUAAUCUUAAAUGGAAAGAAGAGCAGUCAUGGCAAAUGUAUUUUAGACAACGAAAUAACUAGAGAUAAUAAAAGAUAUUAUAUCCUGCCUCACUAAGUAAUCAGAAGAGGUGUCAAUUGGUUGUUAUGAGUGCCAAACAACCUUUCAAUAAGGAAGUUUAUUAUGAUGCUGAUACAUGGGCUAUGCAGCAAGAAAGAAUAUGUCUGAAAGAAUAUGCCUGAAAGACAAGGAGGUAUAAUGUGAAUAGCAAGACAGUAAGGAAUCUACCCUAAUAAUAAAAAAUUCUUUUUGCACCUAAACAAGUCCCGUAUUUUUCACUCCAUAAGACACAC